rnacentral:rRNA from 1 species
AUUGAACGCUGGCGGCAGGCCUAACACAUGCAAGUCGAGCGGAUGAAGGGAGCUUGCUCCUGGAUUCAGCGGCGGACGGGUGAGUAAUGCCUAGGAAUCUGCCUGGUAGGGGGGGAUAACGUCCGGAAACGGGCGCUAAUACCGCAUACGUCCUGAGGGAGAAAGUGGGGGAUCUUCGGACCGCACGCUCUCAGAUGAGCCGAGGUCGGAUUAGCUAGUUGGUGGGGUAAAGGCCUACCAAGGCGACGAUCCGUAACUGGUCUGAGAGGAUGAUCAGUCACACUGGAACUGAGACACGGUCCAGACUCCUACGGGAGGCAGCAGUGGGGAAUAUUGGACAAUGGGCGAAAGCCUGAUCCAGCCAUGCCGCGUGUGUGAAGAAGGUCUUCGGAUUGUAAAGCACUUUAAGUUGGGAGGAAGGGCAGUAAGUUAAUACCUUGCUGUUUUGACGUUACCAACAGAAUAAGCACCGGCUAACUUCGUG